AAACGAGCGUACGGGUCACCUGUUUUUAAGUGAUCACCGCCGCCCACACUCUCCUGCAACACCAGAGGAAUCACAAGAGCGUUGCCGGCCUUUAAGGAAGGUGUACGCGCUUUUUUUGAAGGUACCCAUGUACAAUUUCUGUAAAUAGAUAACAAAUUAGUAUGUAAGUUGCUGCAUCCAAUAUAUGAAACGUGUUUAAAUAAUAUCAAAUAUUUCAUAAAAAGUAAUAAAGAAUAAACUGUAUAAAAUAUUGGAUGCAUCCACCAUUAGAGCAUUUAAAAACAAUGAAUUCGAUAAUUGUUUGUGUAAGGAUGCUUCGUGAACAUGAUGGUCGUGAUUACUGUCUUAAUUAGUUUUCGCAUCCAACAAAUACAAUUACUUAGGAUAGAGAUAUGGUUUAUUAAAAAAAAGUAGGUUUUUCCAUGUUUUUACCUGGAUUCGGCUGAUUUUUUUUGCGGUCAAUGACCGAAAUUCUCUAUUUCGCGACUGAAGUAAUAUUAUGAAAAAGUAGCUUUAGAAAUGUUUUUUAGGUGACAAUUGUACGAAUAAUUUGUUUUGUAUAACUUAUGUAAUUGUAGGAGAGGAGACUUGACGAGUGGAUCCAGCCUAUAGCUUGUGAUGUGUAUAUAAUAAUCCUUAACUGUGUUUUAAUAAACGCGAAGUAAAGUUAUUCCAAGUCUAAAGCUUUUUGUCUUUAUCUUAUCUUUGUGACAACAAAAUUAAUGACAGGGAGAAGUAAUUAUAAACUUGGAGUAACUUUAUAUUGCGUUUAUAAGGCAGUGUAUGACUAGUACUGCUAUGAAAUAUUUUUGAAUUUUGUGAUGCGGUUUUUAUUGUAAAGCCUGUAUGAUAAUUAUAUUUAACUGAAGAGAAUUUAUCUUUAAAACAGUUUUGUAUUGACAAAUGGCCCAUCAUAGAUUAGUCAUAUUAAUUUUUUUUUCGAUACAUUUACGUAUUGAAGACCCCGAAACGGGGCCCAUAUGUCGGGCUCGGGUAUAAACACCUCCUACCGACUAAAAACCUCCUCUGUGCUGAUAGCCCUGAGGGCUUUUACAGCGAAACCGGGCGGGGGCCUUGGAGGCCGAGCAUAUUAAAAUGGACUUACAAAAUCAGCACUUUUGGUUGAUUUCGUUACGCGUGAUAAUGAAUAAUAUAACUAUUAAUAUACACUUUAGUUAGUAUAUUUUUCGUUCUGGGAUUAUUUUAAUAUAAAUUUUUAGUAUUAAGUAAAAGUAUGAUGUAUGUGUUUAUGAAUUAGAUCUAUUAAAUAUUUUUAACUGUA